ACAAACACAGAAACAGAGAGUAGGUCAAAUGUCAACUGAUCUGCCUCAAAUUUCGAGAAUUUUAUUUGACAGAUUUUUUUUUUGCUUAAGGAAGGUCCAGAUUAGUGGAAGCGUCUUCAGAAUGCAGUGUCACCUGCAGUGGUGCCUCUACCACAGUACACCACAGCGUUGAAGAGGACACUGGUAGAACAUAUCCAGCAGCAGAUGUUAAACGACCUUGGCCUUUUUUGUAUACCAAGUCUAUAUUAGCUGACCCAGGUACCUGUAGGUCUGAACCAGCUCUACACACUCCCCAUUGAUGGUUACAGAAUGCAGGUGGGGCCUGGACCUCCAGAAAACCACUAUCAUCGACAAAGCCUCCAUAGCUUGCCAGUCACCUGAGCUGAAGUGAUGGUGGUGGUGGUGGUGGUGGUGUGAGGGGUGGCAACAAGGCACCUGUCUGCAGCAGCAGCAACUCCUGAACACUUCAUAAAACACCACCUACCUUCCUCAUCACUCCCACUGACCUGUGGACUGUUGCCUCUGGAGAUAUUAGUUGUUAAUAAAGCAAAUAUUUGCACAUUGUUAAUACUUUAUGAUUGCUCUGACUGACGUAAUACCUUUUGUCAUGAAUACUAAACUAGCCAUUGAUUUACUGCUGCUUUUGUGUUGGGAUCAAAAACCACACCUUUCUCCAAACCAGAAUAGCUAUUGAUCGCAACAACUUUAUGUCAAAGUGCUACGUGACCAAAGCUCAGCAUUGGCACAAAGAAUAAAAUGAGCUCUCAUUAUCAGCUCAUCAGCU